rnacentral:rRNA from 1 species
AGCGGACGCUGGCGGCAGGCCUAACACAUGCAAGUCGAACGGAUCCUUCGGGAUUAGUGGCGGACGGGUGAGUAACACGUGGGAACGUGCCCUUUGGUUCGGAACAACUCAGGGAAACUUGAGCUAAUACCGGAUGUGCCCUUCGGGGGAAAGAUUUAUCGCCAUUGGAGCGGCCCGCGUCUGAUUAGCUAGUUGGUGGGGUAAAGGCCCACCAAGGCGACGAUCAGUAGCUGGUCUGAGAGGAUGAUCAGCCACAUUGGGACUGAGACACGGCCCAAACUCCUACGGGAGGCAGCAGUGGGGAAUCUUGCGCAAUGGGCGAAAGCCUGACGCAGCCAUGCCGCGUGAAUGAUGAAGGUCUUAGGAUUGUAAAAUUCUUUCACCGGGGACGAUAAUGACGGUACCCGGAGAAGAAGCCCCGGCUAACUUCGUGCCAGCCGCCGCGGUAACAC